AGCGCAGGUGACAGCAAGGUAAGAAAGAGUCAGACACGGAAGGUACUUGUCCUCUGCAAGACAACUAACCAUCAACAAAACUGCAGAGGGCUCCAUCCAGCCAUCCAUUUUCUGUCGCGGUCGCGGGCGUGCCGGAGCCUAUCCCAGCUGUCAUCGGGCAGGAGGCGGGGUACGCCCCGAACCGGUCGCCGCCAGCCCAUCGCAAACAACCCUUCGCACUCACAUUCACACCUGCGGGCAAUUUAGAGUUGUCAAUGAACCUACCGCGCAUGUUUUUGGGAUGUGGGAGGAAACCGGAGUGCCCGGAGAAAAGCCACGCGGGCACGGGGAGAACACGCAAACUGCACACAGGCGGGGAGUCCUCAGAACUGUCCACCGUGCCGCCCUGCAGAGGGCUCUUUAAAAAACCAAAACACCACACCAGAUUGCAUGCGUGCAUGCAGUUGUUAACAGCUCUACAGCUUUGCUCAUAUUUUCUCUUGUUUUCUCUGACUGUGAUUAAAGGUCCUGAUUAAACCGA